rnacentral:rRNA from 1 species
UACGUAGGGGGCAAGCGUUAUCCGGAUUUACUGGGUGUAAAGGGAGCGUAGGCGGUUCAGCAAGUCAGAAGUGAAAGCCCGGGGCUCAACUCCGGGACUGCUUUUGAAACUGUUGAACUAGAUUGCAGGAGAGGUAAGUGGAAUUCCUAGUGUAGCGGUGAAAUGCGUAGAUAUUAGGAGGAACACCAGUGGCGAAGGCGGCUUACUGGACUGUAAAUGACGCUGAGGCUCGAAAGCGUGGGGAGCAAACAGG